rnacentral:lncRNA from 1 species
CACAAAACUCGGGUUAAAACCAGAGGAAACCUUCCCGGGGUGGGAUGGUGGGAUGGAUGGGGACACCCGCACCCCAAAUCCUUGCGUGGGGACAGCGGGGUGGCCUCUGGACAUUCCCAAGGGACAUCCCAGCAGCUUUGCAGCCCCCGUCCCCCUCCCUGUGGCCCCGGAGCCACAUCCAGCCACCGCCUUGGCGUGUCACCUCCUGUCACAGCCCGUGGCCACAGCCCAGGUGGCCCAGGAAGGAGGAAGUGGCUUUUCCGGAGCGCGGCACCGUGCAGGCACACACGGCUGCCCUCGCCUCCGGGGCCACCGCGGCCACCGCGGCCACGGCCACGGGGAUCCCCCCGAGGAUCAUCCGGGUCCCCUCCUGUCCCCGUGUCCCCCAGGUCUCAGCUACCCCCUGUUCCCUGCCGCCAGCCUGAGCCGCGCCCUGGCCACCAAGACGCCCCCGCCGCUGUUCCUGGGGGCCGAGGGCCGGCGUGGCGAGUCCCAGGGCAACCUGGCGAGCGGCCGGAGCGGCGGCAGCGCAGCGCGGCCGCUGUACCCCGCCCUGCAGACCCUGAGCCCCGUGCUCAGCCCGGGCAGCUCCAGCCUCCCGAGCCACGGCCUCGCCGGUUUCUCCUUCCUCAGCCCGGCCCCGGCGGAUUUUGGGGCUGGAGAGGUCCCGCCGCCCCCCGGGUUCCUGCAGCCCCCGGCGUGGCAGCACCCCCGGGACGUGACAGCGCUGGGGUG